rnacentral:rRNA from 1 species
GCUAGUUGUACGAGUUCAGACUCGUAGCAGAUAGCUCAGUAACACGUGGCCAAACUACCCUAUGGACCCAGACAACCUCGGGAAACUGAGGCUAAUCUGGGAUACGAUUCUCCCGCUGGAACUGCAGAGAAUCCGAAACGCCCCGGCGCCAUAGGAUGUGGCUGCGGCCGAUUAGGUAGACGGUGGGGUAACGGCCCACCGUGCCGAUAAUCGGUACGGGUUGUGAGAGCAAGAGCCCGGAGACGGUAUCUGAGACAAGAUACCGGGCCCUACGGGGCGCAGCAGGCGCGAAACCUUUACACUGCACGCCAGUGCGAUAAGGGGACUCCGAGUGCGAGGGCAUAUAGUCCUCGCUUUUCACCACCGUAAGGUGGUGGUGGAAUAAGUGCUGGGCAAGACCGGUGCCAGCCGCCGCGGUAAUACCGGCAGCACGAGUGAUGACCGCUAUUAUUGGGCCUAAAGCGUCCGUAGCUGGCCGCGCAAGUCUAUCGGGAAAUCUGCCCGCCUAACGGGCAGGCGUCCGGUGGAAACUGUGUGGCUUGGGACCGGAAGAUCAGAAGGGUACGUCCGGGGUAGGAGUGAAAUCCCGUAAUCCUGGACGGACCACCGGUGGCGAGAGCGCCUCUGGAGGACGGAUCCGACGGUGAGGGACGAAAGCUCGGG